UCCCAUGUAGCUCAGUUGGUAGAGCAUGGUGUUUGCAACGCCAGGGUUGUGGGUUCGAUUCCCACGGGGGAC
rfam:Salmo salar isolate Sally breed double haploid chromosome ssa03, whole genome shotgun sequence.